UUGCCUGCUCACACUUAAAACUAAUUACAUGUUAAAUCAUUACAGAUUUUAGUAGAAAAUAAAAUAAAAAUGUAAAAAAUAGGUUUAUUAACAAAGUCAAUGUAUUUAGUUCGUUGUGACUAUACGAAACAUGCCUUUUUUAUUUUGUCAUUUUUAACUUGUGAAACUUAUCGCCAAGUCCACAGCUCGCAGAGACACAGUUUUAUCAUAUGAUAUUUUUUAUUAUUAUUAUCAUAUCAUAAAAGUAUCUUAAUAUAAUUAAAUACGUAAUAACAAGCGAGGUAAAGACGAAAUGAGGUAUCUAUUCGUAAUUAACACAAGUAAUACAAAAGAAAAGUAAACACAUGCCAUAACCCACAGAAAUUGUAAUUACCGGUUUUUGGUAACGUUACUGGGAAAAAUGGUAAUUUACCGGUAAAUUUACCAAAUGGUAAAUUACUGGUAACGGUAAUUUACUGACGGCACAACACUAAUCGCGUAUCAUAUGUGAGAUAAGUUAUUGUUCAAAGUUAGAAUUACUCAAAGGCUAAUCGUUUGGUGCGCAGUUCCGAUUUUAUUAUUUGACUUUUCUUGGAAUAGAAUAGAAACACUUUAUUGACAAACUGUGGACAGAAGAUGACAUUUAUACAACUGUCCCAACAGUUACUCGACAUGGGUGUGCAAUGUUGUGAAACUUCUCAGUGUUUUCUCGGACAUUUGUACGAUGGUGUAAAGCCAAUAUUUUUGUCCUGUCUGCGCCCUAUAUGUCCUGAACCUCAUCGUCAACAAACGUGCUUAAACAUGAACGGUCAACAGUGAUGUCAUUUCGGUAAACACCGCUGGUAAUUAAAAACUGUUUAUUAUUACUAAGACUGAACAUAUCGUCUUUGCUACUGAAUAAACUUUGUAUUUAGUUUAAAAAAUGCUAACAGCUUUAUUAAGAACAAUUCCUAGCUGAGCAACUUUUCAAAUCUCGAAUUUUUGAAGAUAUGUUUCCGUCGCGCUGCAGUCGGCUCCGGAGUGCGUGCGUGCGAUAAGGACAACUACAGCUCGGACUAAAAUUCCGACGCAAAAAACUCAAAAAUCGAGGUUUCGCUCUCGACUGGAGGAGGAAAUCCUCCAAAACGCAACUAAUCACUAUGAAAUUUUGGAAACUGCAAGAGGAAGAAAUAAUAUAUGCCGCUAUGUUUUGAUUUUUUGGAUAUUUGUUGUCAUAUUUGUAAACUGCGCAUUUUUUUGCAGCCAAUUUAAUUGAGCCGUUUUUGCUAUUUCCGAAGCGCUGUAAGUUUCUUUAAAAUAAAAUAAUUCAAAAAAGCAAAAAAUAGCGGCACAGAUAUUGAUAUGAUAUUGAUCUAAUUUGAAAAAUCAUUGCUCUAGGUUUAAAAUGCAGGUAGGCAACAGUCGAGAGCGUUUGUAUGGAAAAAUUGCAACUAGGAAUUCCUCUUAAUUCUACUACUAGGAAUCUGGCGAAUUCAACAGUUGCCAUUCAUAAGAAAUGUGUCAGAAGCACGAUUAGUUAGGAUUAUGUCGAUUGUAGGUACACCUACAAAAGAUCCACUUGUACAAACUAAAUAGCGUGGAACAAUAUAUUUUCCGAACAAAACCAGUUUUGAUCGGUGUUUACAAGGACAUUAUGAGUAUGAAUAUGAACAUUAUUUUUCACCACACCAGCUGGUAAAGGCUCUCUUGAUUGUUCAAAAACUGAUGAGAAUGUUGCAUUUUAACCACAUGUGGGACAAAGUAAUCAGAUGCAAAUUUUGAGUUAUUUCCUAAUGUUGGUGGAUUUGACUUUUAAAUGAUGACUUUGAAUGAUAAAUAUUUAAUGAUGUUCAUUUGGAUUUGAUUUGGUAUGAAUUUGUUUGAUAUCUUACAGAUUAUAUUUUCUUCGGGUUGGUGUGGUGGAAAACUUUGUGUUUCACUCCGGGCUAAAAUUAUUUAACCCUCGCAACGAUUAAGAUUCCACUUAUGGAAUUACUCGCUCCGCUCGUGGUUCAAUUCUGUACUCUUUCGCUUGCUCGGUUAUCAAUAUUAACACGAGUGGUUAAACAACAACUUUGCACUCUUGUAAAACAAAUAACUAUUAAACAUAAACGCCUAAAGGAAAUAAAGAUUACACCGUAGGAAGGGAAUUUGCUUUUCGAUCAUUUCAUUAUUUUCAUUAAUUAAACAUCCAGCUACAAGUAAGUAUAUUUCUUUCAGAUCUUAGUUAGAACAUUGAAAAUUUGUUGGUUGUUGGCCAAGCAUCAGCCUAUUUUAUAUGUAUAGCCCUUGGUCUUCAAUUUAGAGUCGCUGUGUUAAGGCCUUAGGUUCGUGUUCUUUACUCACUCUCACUGAGUAUGUAUCUCGUAAGCGUAAGCGUGAUGGAUGUGCGUAUUCAUUCGGGACCGUGUAUAUCAUGUUUUUAAAUUUUAAUACGAUUUAAAGUAGAAAUAAUUAAUCACCGAGUUCCCUCAAAAUAAAAUUGCGCAUUUUUAGAAGCAAUUUUCAUAUUUUUAGCUUUUGUGCAUAAAUUGUAUUGUUAUCUAAAAGAGCGGUAAUUUUUCAAAUAUUCCACUCUCUGAACCUCCGGCAUCUUCAGCAGACACGUGCAUGUUUCAAGAAGAAAACUCUGCCUUCGUUGUAAUUGAAACUAGACAUUUAAAUCAUGAUUUUAAAUGGACGAGGAAAAAAUAAUAAUUUACCUUCAGCUAGACAGCAAUUAUUAAGACCUAGUCUGCAUUUAUUUUGUAUUGGCUGCAAGAAAAUACUCCUGAUAAUGGCGAUAGUGGUCACGAGGCAGAUAAUGGUUAAAUUAAAGAAGGAUCAGCCGAGUGCGAAUCUGUGACCCAAGCUGUCUCUCUCGUGUAAUUUCUGACGCAAUUCGUGUCAAAAUUACAACACGCAUAACUGAUACAAAAUCAUUUUAUUUACCUAUAGUAUCGACACCGUUACUGAUUCUGAUUUUUAUUAAUUGUAGGCCCGAAGUAUUUGUCAGUAAAUCCAAUUUGGUAAUUAUUUGUGGAAUUUUACCUCCUUGUGUCAUUGGGUUGAGAAAAUAAUGUUAUAAGGCUACUUACGAGUCUUUUUUGCCAAGGCGUGAUAUUGUUGGCAGCAACUCGAGUCUUUUGAGUCUAAAAUGAAGAACUCUACUUGUUUUUCCGAGACUCCGAGCUUAAAAAACUUCUGAGUCUUUUAAGUCUCGAGUCGAGUCCUUUAUUGAAUCUUUUUUGAGCGCUACUCAAAAGGACUCGAGUCUCCGGAUAAAGACUCAGUCAACAAUUUUAUAGGUUUUACCUAAAACACAGUAAAGUAAAUAGGCGUUAUUGUAUGAUUUAUGUUAUGUACAUCCAUGAAUUUCACAUAGACAACACAUUUCGAAGUUAUUUGUAAAAAAAUACAAGUUCUCCGAACUCGAGUCUCUAAUAAGUUGAAAAGAACUAGAGUUCCAUCUUAAUUGUGAGAGUCUGAAAAACUGAGUCGAGUCUUAAAGCAGAGGACUCAAAGGACAUGAGUCUAACUUAACCAACACUAGGCGUGCAUGUUCAGAUUUUGUAUGAGUCUGAUGGUGACUGUUUCUAGUUUCAAAUACUUAUCAAUUAAAGGUUCGUAAAAUUAAAGCAUAUUAUAUCGUUAUUUUUAAUAAAACCAUUUCAGAUUGUUCAUUUAACUCUACUGCCCUUCUAUUCUACUUUUUAUUUAUUUUUUUAAACCUCCAUAUCUCCAUAAUCUAUAACAGCUUAUUCGUCGACAUUAUCAUAAGAGUUUUAUGAGGUGGUAUUAUGAAAAACCGACUGACAUUAUAUUUGUUAUCAAAAGCAUACUUAUGUAUUAUGUAGUACAAGUGUAUUCAGCAUUUACAGUCACCUUCCAAAAUCGAUAGCCAAUGCGGCAUUGACCUACUACUUCGAUUCGAUUUAAAUAGUAUUUGCUUGUCUGCAAAUUAUCAGUGGGCGUUAAUAUGUAUUUUCGUUUCUAUCCUCAUUGAUCCUUGUCUCAAUUCUGUAGAAACACAUUUUGAAUAUUAUUAUUCGCACUUUCGUUAAUCUGUAAAACUGUUUGGAACCCCGUUAACCAACGAAUUUUUUAUGUUUGAUGUGUGCAUCUUUAUGUUGGUCUGUGGCAUCAUAGAAACAUUGGCUUGAAAUUAGAAUAUUCUAGACUUGAUUUAUUUUUAGUUUUAAUUUAAAAAAACGCUAUCGAGAGUUUUCUUAAAUGAUUGAAGCACAUCUUUCAGCCGUUUCUCUUCUUCUCUGUCUCAUGUCGAAGGAAUCAGAUCGAUGGAUCGAAGGAAAACUUUCAAUACAAUUUAGUAAUUUAAAAAGAAAUUGCCUGUUGUACAUUAAUAAAUUAAGUAUAUUAUUCAGUGGAUAAAUAUUCGGUAGAGAUUUACAAUGAAUUUUCCUUUUGCUUUAUACAUUUUAAUAAGACAUUUCUUUAAGCAUUCAGUGAUGCAGGGUUAAUAUUGUUUCGCCGUCGGUUUACGGACCGCUUACAUUUGGAUUUCAUGUUCUAAGUUCAACAAACCAGAGAUUAUUUAUUGACCCCCGUGUCAAUAGUCUAUUUAAAUGAUCGUGACUCUUGCCAACUAAAAGACACUGAACAUUGUUAUAAAUGUUACGAGUAGUUCCAAAUGAAAUUUGGUCCUCAUUUACUUUAUUUGUUGAGGAAUUUAAUGUGCCUUAGUUUUGAGACUUUGUUCGGACUGCCAAGCUUCAUUAGCAUAUUAAUGGGGAAAUUAGUUCUCCUUUGGAAUUAAAUCAGAAUGGAAUUAAAUCGAAAGCAAUUUGUAUAUCUCGAAUGUGUUUCUACUGUACCUUAAAUAUGUGUCAAUCCAUUAGAGCGUGUGAGUAAUUUUUGCAAGCUUAACACAUUCGAACUACCCAGCCAACCAUCUAGGCUGGUUAUUGGUUGCUGGUUAGUCUAGAAAAAAUGUCCCAGAAAGACAUGGGGUCACUAAAAUUAUGCAUUUAAUUUUAUUCCCCCCACGACCUAGUAACCUCAUUUCACACUUGAUAAUAAAUAAUCCAUUUACAUACCCUCUUUUAAACCAUUGUUAGAGAACGUUGUUAAUCCCCUCAAAAUCCACUGUUAUCCUUGACCGAAUAACAGUCGAUGGCCGUCCACCCGUCCGCCCGUGUUUAUUGGCACAUUUACUCCAACACGAAUUAAAGUCUCAUAGCGUACUGCCCCAGUUACAAAACGUAGGAACCAGAUCAGCUGUGGAUUGGGCAGGUUUCAAAUUGAUAUUGGCAAAGGCUAUAUUUGAUCAAUUGCGAAUAGUGAAUGAAUGUGAAAAUCAACGUCACCAUUUUAGGGACUACUUAAUCAUGGAAUGAACAGUCUUGCCCGCUUGAAAUUGACAAAAAAAACCUACAGUUAUGGGAGUUUGAUUUAGAUUUUCAACUGGCUUCAUUGCGUGUUAGAGUUCCGUCCAUGUUCGUAGUGGUGAUUCGUGUUAAAUAGACACUGUUAAUAGACGGAAAAAUUGAACCAAACAAUGAAACAUCACUUUAUAUUACGCACUAAAACCGGUCCAUAGUAUAAUGUAGAGCGUAGUUUACGUAUAAAAUAAAAAUAAACUGAAUUGGCGUACCUAUUCGAAUUAAAAUAGUUAAAUUAAUUCGGCCGUGUAGCCAAAGUUUCCGGCACGCCUCGCCUCAUUUUAUAUUUCACAUCUAAUACGUGCGUGACUUCGCUCUUUAUAGUAUACUAAAAUAUCUUCACUUUUCUAGAAUUGAGAAUAUGGGAAUCGCGUGAAUGCGGAAGCAGCACUUUCUCACUACAUUUGUGAAGGUUCCUGUUCAAAGAUCUUGAAAUUUGCUAAAUUUAAUGUUAACGUCCCAUUAUACCGUCUGGAUGAACAGAAGGUCAAGUCGAUAUUGCAAUCGUUAACGUUGUCGCGAAUAUUGCUGUCUUCGAGGUCAUAUGCGAAAAUAAAUUGAAGCAGAUCAAGUGGCUGUAGAUAAAUUACCAAUAACCAUAUGAGGAGUCAGAGAACUUCUAAUAACUAGCCUUGAAUUUAUGAUCCACUGUUCCUGAUGACUUAUGUUUACGAGCUAUUUGAAGUGUGUAUGUUUAUACGGUUAUAUAUUCAUAAGGAAUUGGAACCCUUCAUAUUGCUAUAAAAAUUGCUAUUUGCUUUUAAAAUUCGAUAGGAUGUAUUAGUAAUUGUUAAAACUGAUUUAGCGUGGUAAGAAACUUACAAUGCUGACAUUGAAACUACAAUUGUACGAUUACACCGCGGUGGUCUGCUGGAUGGUCACGUGAACUUCGCAAACAGCAUUUGACUCACUUGAAACGAAAUAGACACCCACUUACUGUAUUAACGGAUGGCAAUUCGACUAUCGGGCACAUCCUUUUUAGGUCCUGACGUCAAAUGUCUAUUUUAGAAAUAUCUGUUAGGCAUGUUUAACUAUUUGAUAGGUGCCCAUACCCAUAACACGGUAUUAACUGCUACUGCUGCUAACUUGCAUGGUUUAUUUGUAAAUUUACAUUAGAUUUUACGUGGUACCUUCGGUAUAGCUUUAAAGUUUAACAACAACUUGAAAACUAUAGCUCUUUGCUAUAAAAUAAUGGUGCUUGGACGAAAAAAGUACUUGUACAAAAUAUGUUGGAAACAUUUAAUUUCACGUUGAGCUAUUUUAUUAUUAUUCAGCUUCCCGAUUGACAGACGAAACAACUCAGAAAUUAAAGCUAUAAUGCAAAACCAUAAAAUAUAGAAUAUUGUUCAUACUCGUAGAAGAUUAAGCACACCAUAUUUCUGCACUAAUGAUACUUAAUAUUUAAAAACAUAUUGGCUUUAUCCGUGACCAAAUGAUCAUCGUAAUAUUGUCUCUGUAACAUUUUACACUGCGCCAAUGAAACUAAUAAACUACUGAAAGCGUUAAUUAACUCAUUUCUUCCGUUAAACUGUUGAACGGAGCGCUUACAGUAAAUAAGGAAAUGAAAUUGGUCGACAAGGGCAACCGUUUUCUGACUGGGUACAUAGAUAAGUUCCGCGAUCGCUUGUGCAAAUUAAUUAUGUCAACUCUUUCCAAUUAAUUAAAAAUUAUGCGACACUAAAGAAAACUUUCAUAGGUCUUCUGCCUUUAAAGUCACAAUAUUUAGUCUUCACGACAAAUUAUUACUGUACUAAACGUUAAAUAUUUAGUAUAUUUUAACGUUAUAAAUAUGCCAACUAUGUGUUAGUGCGAACUAAUUUUGCAAUAUAAAAUUGAAUCCCAAGGUUUCCGCAAGCAUACAUAGUACAUAUACACAUACAUAAUACAUAUACAGAGUUUAUACAUAGUAAUAUAUAUCUACUAUGUAUUAACUCUGUUGAAAAAAGAGCAGGCGAAACCCCCAUGCAAAAUAACCCUGAAAUACGAGCUUAGCUGCAUAAGUUGUGUUUUGUGUUCAAUGUGUUCAUCCACAAACAUUCAGCUAAACGCAUAAGAAUUCUUUAGACGCGUUACUCAAAUUCACGAGACGGAAUCACAUUUCAGUAUUUUUAAGUAACGCAAUUUGAGGGUUGUUAAAGUCGGCGGCAGCAUCUGUGGCGGAUUAUUCGCAUUUUUGACCGACUGUAAACUAAACAGAUUGUCGACCUACUUUCCAGCAUUGUUCAGCUCGCUGCGUAUGCGCGCGCGGCGCCUAGCCAAAUCUAUUUCGAUUUUUAUCUACGCGAACUACGUGGUCGCUCGCAGUCUGCCCCUUUCAAUUUUUGCAAUGUUUACAGUUCCCCUGCUCUACAUCGCGAAUACGCCGCGUGAACUAAAAAUAUAUCGCGUACUGAUAACAAAUAAUUGAAAACAACGUUCAGUGCUCACGUGCUGAUAGCGCCGCGCCGGCCAGCAAGCAUCAAUAAUAUAUGUAUAUUGGGAGAUAAUAAUCGCGCCACUAUGAACCUUCCAUGUUUUAUUUAUGUAAUUAGAUAAGAGCCAGUUUAUUAUAUUAUACAUUUAUCUACUCGUAUUUCGAGCAUGUCGGUCAAUCAGUGUACCGUCAAUUUCUAAAUUUAUUUAAGAGUCCAGCCUUCUCCUUUUCGGUCAAAAUUUAAAGUUCAAUUAUAAAUUAAUGAAACCCUAGGUCCGUGGGGUCCCAGCGCGCACAAGUUUUUUGGAGAAAUCGCGAAACGUCUGGUUGACGUAACUGGUGACCGAAGAGCUGGCGGCUUCCUCGCACAACGUAUCAGUAUUGCGAUACAACGAGGAAAUGCCGCCAGCAUCCUUGGUACAAUGCCUCAAGGGCCUAUUUUAGAUAUAAGCUAGUUAUAGUAAUCAUCUGUAUAUAUCCAUUAUGUAUAUUGUUAUUGUCAAUAAAAUAAUUUAAAAAUUAA